GAUUAUCCAGACUCCGAUGUUGAAAGCGUUAUGAAGGUUUAUAAGUUCAUUGGAGAGGAGCCUAAAAUAAACGACACUGCCACACUGAAUGCAAUCUUCAGAACUGUGAUAUUAAGUGUGUUGGGUGUGACGCUGUUCUGCUCAUGCUAUCAUAUAUUCUGCAGAAUAUUUUGUAUGUGUGGAUAGCAUCAGUACCAGUUAUUGAUGGUCACCGAUCCCUG